AGGACGAACGCUGGCGGCGUGCUUAACACAUGCAAGUCGAACGAGGCGCUUGCGCCUAGUGGCGAACGGGUGAGUAACACGUGAGCAACCUGCCCUUGGCUCUGGGAUAGCCUCCGGAAACGGGGAUUAAUACCGGACAUGACCUUCUCCUGCAUGGGGGAGGGUGGAAAGUUUUUCGGCCAGGGAGGGCUCGCGGCCUAUCAGCUUGUUGGGGGGGUAACGGCCCACCAAGGCGACGACGGGUAG
rnacentral:rRNA from 1 species